rnacentral:lncRNA from 1 species
CCCUUCCCUUCUUCGUGACUCAUCGAGAGAGGCAAACCCGUGAAAGAUAAAGGGGUAGCAAGGGCCACCGCCACAGAUACUCGUUGACACUGGGGUUCGGGCUCCAGUGGGGCUACUCAGAGGUUGGUCUAGCCGCAUAGAAGCUGUGUGAGGGAUUAAUUGGAGGGAAACUAGCUGAAGCCAUAUGAAUUCCUUGUAGGCCGAACAACACCACCGCAGGGCCGCAACUCACUGCAUUCAGAGGUGUCUGUGCCUCUAGGGUCGGUGAGUAUCUACCCUUGCGAUUUGUCAUUAUCUGCUCGAUGUAUAGCACUUUUUGUCUAAAAGCUUGAAUCCUGAUGUCGGAUCUGGCGAACACCGACGAUGUCGCCACCACGGUGAUGCCCCUCGCCGCCGUGGUUUGGGAUCGGGUGGGGACAAUGGCUUUUGGGCCGUUGAUUCCACAGGAACAGUUAGGAUUACAAUAGAACGUACCGGUUGGGGUAGGAUGGAUCUGCAUCGCUGGAUGGGGAUCAAAUGUGUAUGAUUUUAUCUUGGACAUUUUAGAUCCUGAUCGUCGGUCUGGAGUUGAGCGGCUGAGAUUUGUUUGUCUUACCGGAUUCGGGGUGCGCGCAGAUCAGUCGUUGGAUCGUGGGCGUAGAGUUGGGAUCAGAUCUUAUGCUCAUUAAACCAUGGCCCUCGAUCUCAGAUCCGGUGAGCCAUGUUGCAUACCGGUUCACGGGGAUUGGGUGUCGAUCCAUGCUGCCCACUGCCCACAUCUGAUCGAACGACUUAGUGAGCGAUACCCCUUCGGCCCGACCACCUUACUAAAGAAAACCUGGACUUAUUUGCAAUUAACUCGCAGUCCACCACGGGUUAAGGUAAGUCUGGGAAUUUUUGCAAGUUAGCUCCUAUUCUCUUAUGUAUUCUUGUGCGCAAUCCAGGAAGCUAUUAAUUGGAUAAAAAUAUAGAAAAAGAGUUUUUGCAUUAAAAUAAUUAUAGAAACUUGUUUAAAUCAUAAUAAAUUCAUUUGAAUUCCGUUUUGAUCCAUUCCAAUUGCAUUAAUUUUGUUUUAAUAUUGUUUAUCACAUGGUAACUCUGUUUAGCCAUGAAACAUAGAUUAAAUUUGUCUACUUAAUUUAUUCUAUAUAAAACACAUAAAACCUUCGGAAAAUCAUAACUUGAUAACCGUAACUCCGAAUUUAGUGAUUCUCGAACCUACGAUCUUGUUACAAUGCAUAGAUUAUUAUUAUGUAUUCUGUUCUCAUGUUUGGUGUGAUGUUAAUUUCUCCUAUACUAUGCUUGUUUGUAUUGUUGCGAGUAGACGAGCAAGCCAUUGAGGCCUCAGGUGUUCAGCAGGUGGAGUUUGUUGAGCAGGAGCUCGUUGAAG